CUUCGCCUUAGUAGGAUUCGUGAUCACAAAUUCGCCACGGAUUGUGUUGAAUUUAACAUAUCAUUGCGAUCGAGCUCAAUGGCAGUCUUUCAUAGAGGAUGUGAGGAGCUGAUGAGACAUCCAGAAUGUGCAGCAUUUUGAGGGUACUCCAGGAUCAGGAGACACUGUGCUAUACCAUGGAUGCUAAACAACAACUGAAAUAAUGUGAAUGUUUCUGGAACUGUCCAGCUCACGUGACGUGAAUAUUUAAUGAGAGACGUGCAGUAGACGCAGCAGAUUUGCGAAUGCGUGGGCAAUGGAGAAAACAGCGCUGAUACCCGAUCUGCCCGGCAGCAAAAAGGUGACACUUAAUCCUGACGUCAGGCUGUUGACCCUUAGCAGUCACCUCACUAAUUCAACAUAAAUAGUUAAUGACGGCCUGCAUACACACAUCUUAUGUAACCAAACUUGACAAAUAAGUGGGGAGAACCACUCAAGAGCAAACUACUGGAAAUGAGAGGCAAUUUUUUCCACCAUCGCUCUCGUGUUUGACACCUGCAAGUCAUCACGGUCCAUCGUGUCCAUGCAUUCACCAAAAUCUCCACUUCUGGGGUGUUUUAACCACUGAUACCACUAAUAUCAACUUUUUACUAAUUCACCUGUUUGCCUAUAUUGCCAACUUGCAACGUUUAAAUAUUUAGUUGUACGCAAAUUACUUGAAAUGUAAUCCUACAUAUAAAUUGAAAAUCUACAAAUAAUGAAUAAAUCUUUAAGCAAGUCUCAUAUAAAGAGUAACAACUGGAAUAAAGUGACAGAUGGUUAGAUUACAUCAAUGAGCAAAUUUUUAGGCAAUACUUAGACAUUAUGAUACUUUAGACUAAACUGUUGCUGGCACUGUUGUACACUAUUUAAGAGAGAGAAUGUUAUAAAAUUUAAAAAACAGCUUCUUAGUGGCAACACACGUUCAUGUGCGCUCCUCACAUUCAGAUACAUUUCCUGAAAAUUCUUUUUUUUUUUAAAUCUACUUUACUACUAAGAAACAAUGUAAAAAUGUAUUUUAUGGUCCAAUUCUCGCCAUUAACAAACAAUUGACUUUUGCCUCAAUAGACUCCUAAUUUGCUGCUUAUUAAUAGUUAGUAAGGUAGUUGUUAAGUUUAGGUAUUGUAUUAGGGAUGUAGAAUAUGGUCAUGUAGAAUAUGUGCUUAAUAAGUACUAAUAAACAGCCAAUUUGUUAUUAAUAGGCAUGCUACCAAUAGUGAGAACUGGUCCCUAUACUAAAGUGUUACCGAUAACUCUUUAGAAGAAGAUCUCAAUUGUUAACAAGUUAAAAUGAACAAUUAAUGUAUUUUU